UACGAAGGGCGCGAGCGUUGUUCGGAAUCACUGGGCUUAAAGCGUGCGUAGGUGGAUUGGUAAGUCAGGAGUGAAAUCCCAGGGCUUAACCCUGGAACUGCUCUUUAGACUGCCUGUCUGGAAUUCGGAAGAGGUUGGUGGAACUCCCAGUGUAGAGGUGAAAUUCGCAGAUAUUGGGAAGAACACCGGUGGCGAAGGCGACCAACUGGUCCGACAUUGACACUGAGGCACGAAAGCGUGGGUAGCAAACAGG
rnacentral:rRNA from 1 species